rnacentral:SRP_RNA from 1 species
GGCUCGGAGCUAUGCAGUUUUAACGCCUGAACCGUGUCAGGGUCGGAAGGCAGCAGCACUAAGGGAUGCUUGAAAUAGGCGUAGUUUCCGGGUCAAA